rnacentral:rRNA from 1 species
AUACAUGCAAGUCGAGCGAACAGACAAGGAGCUUGCUCCUUUGACGUUAGCGGCGGACGGGUGAGUAACACGUGGGUAACCUACCUAUAAGACUGGGAUAACUUCGGGAAACCGGAGCUAAUACCGGAUAAUAUUUCGAACCGCAUGGUUCGAUAGUGAAAGAUGGUUUUGCUAUCACUUAUAGAUGGACCCGCGCCGUAUUAGCUAGUUGGUAAGGUAACGGCUUACCAAGGCGACGAUACGUAGCCGACCUGAGAGGGUGAUCGGCCACACUGGAACUGAGACACGGUCCAGACUCCUACGGGAGGCAGCAGUAGGGAAUCUUCCGCAAUGGGCGAAAGCCUGACGGAGCAACGCCGCGUGAGUGAUGAAGGUCUUCGGAUCGUAAAACUCUGUUAUUAGGGAAGAACAUACGUGUAAGUAACUAUGCACGUCUUGACGGUACCUAAUCAGAAAGCCACGGCUAACUACGUGCCAGCAGCCGCGGUAAUACGUAGGUGGCAAGCGUUAUCCGGAAUUAUUGGGCGUAAAGCGCGCGUAGGCGGUUUUUUAAGUCUGAUGUGAAAGCCCACGGCUCAACCGUGGAGGGUCAUUGGAAACUGGAAAACUUGAGUGCAGAAGAGGAAAGUGGAAUUCCAUGUGUAGCGGUGAAAUGCGCAGAGAUAUGGAGGAACACCAGUGGCGAAGGCGACUUUCUGGUCUGUAACUGACGCUGAUGUGCGAAAGCGUGGGGAUCAAACAGGAUUAAA